rnacentral:rRNA from 1 species
CCUACGGGUGGCAGCAGUGGGGAAUAUUGGGCAAUGGAGGCAACUCUGACCCAGCAACGCCGCGUGAGUGAUGAAGGUCUUCGGAUUGUAAAACUCUUUAAGUGGGGACGAAGAAAGUGACUGUACCCACAGAAUAAGCCUCGGCUAACUACGUGCCAGCAGCCGCGGUAAUACGUAGGGGGCAAGCGUUAUCCGGAUUUACUGGGUGGAAAGGGAGCGUAGACGGUUAUGUAAGUCUGGAGUGAAAGCCCGGGGCCCAACCCCGGGACUGCUUUGGAAACUGUGUAACUGGAGUACAGGAGGGGCAGGCGGAAUUCCUGGUGUAGCGGUGAAAUGCGUAGAUAUCAGGAGGAACACCGGCGGCGAAGGCGGCCUGCUGGACUGAAACUGACGUUGAGGCUCGAAAGCGUGGGGAGCAAACAGGAUUAGAUACCCCGGUAGUC